CUGCUGCCUCCGCGGUUACCGGCAACGUGACGCGGCGGUGCUUGCGGAGCGGCGCCGCCUCGCCCGGCGCUUCCUCCCGCUGUCAAGCAUCUUUCUGAAAUCAGGGCUGAAGAGCCAGCAUGCCACUAGUGGGAGAAGAAAAGAGAGCAGCACGUGGAGUUGCACAGAGAAUGAAACUGCUCUCCAAUGAUGCUAUCAAACCAGCAGAUGCUUACAAAGAGAAUUUCAUGGGCAAAGUCAUGGAAGAACUGGAGGUCUGCUAGAGCUGAAUCCAGUGGACUCUCGCUCCCAGGAGGCUUCUCCCAGCCCAGCCUUGUGGCUGCUGCUGUCCUCACGUGUGUGUGUGUGUUCAGAAGACUUAUGGUGCAUUCCAAAGAGCCAGAUGCAGACACACACACACAGAUUUACACCAAUAAUGCAACCGGCAAAACAGAUUGACAUAGACAGAGUAACGCCUUUACCGGCACCCAGGUCUUUGUAACCACCACUUACAUAAAUGUGAACACAGGCCGCUCCUUUUCUGCCUUUCCAUAUGAUCAGGACUGGAUGUUUGCUAGUGAACCACAACUUCAUUCCCUAGAUUCAUAAGCACAGCGUGUGCAUGGAUUCCUCAAGCAACACUCUGGAAAUCGAGUCCAUGUAAUAUCUGUGGCUGGAUGUCAAGCUCCUUAGCCAGUCAUUGGUGCAAACGUUGGGUCUUUCUAGAUCUCCUGUGUCAUGAGAGAGUCCAGUCUGAGGUUCACUGGUGCAUUGUACACACACAGGGAUCCCCCCAGUAGCCGGCCAAAGACACUUUGUGUUUCCAACUGCUGUCCCAAGACCUCUUGCCCCCUAUCACCCAUGUUCCUUUCUUACACUGAACCAUCCCCCUCCUCUGUGGCCAGACAGGGAUUCAGGCCUUUUGAGCAACUCUUCCCUUUGUGCCCCACUUAGCUGCCUGCAGCCUCAUUUGGCAGGGACCAGCCAGCCAUGGAAGUCCUUG